UACGAAGGGGGCUAGCGUUGCUCGGAAUCACUGGGCGUAAAGCGCACGUAGGCGGAUUGUUAAGUCAGGGGUGAAAUCCUGGAGCUCAACUCCAGAACUGCCUUUGAUACUGGCGAUCUUGAGUCCGGGAGAGGUGAGUGGAACUGCGAGUGUAGAGGUGAAAUUCGUAGAUAUUCGCAAGAACACCAGUGGCGAAGGCGGCUCACUGGCCCGGUACUGACGCUGAGGUGCGAAAGCGUGGGGAGCAAACAGGAUUAAGAAACCCCGG
rnacentral:rRNA from 1 species